GACGAACGCUGGCGGCGUGCUUAACACAUGCAAGUCGAACGGAAAGGCCCUGCUUGCGGGGUACUCGAGUGGCGAACGGGUGAGUAACACGUGGGUGGUCUGCCCUGCUCUUCGGGAUAAACCUGGGCAACUGGGUCUAAUACCGGCUAGGAGACAUAUUUAGUCUGAUGGUUGGAAAGUGUUUUGGGUGUAUGAUGAGGUUGCGGCCUAUCAGCGUGUUGGGGGGGUAAUGGCCUACCAUGGCGGCGACGGGUAGCCGGCCUGUGAGGGUGGACGGCCACAUUGGGACCUAGGUACGGCCCCGACUCGUACGGGUGGCAGCAGUGGGGAAUCUUGCACAAUGGGCGCAAGCCUGAUGCAGCGACGCCGCGUGGGGGAUGACGGCCUUAGGGUUGAAAACCCAUUUCGCUAGGGACGAAGCUUGUUGUGACGGUACCUAGAUAAGAAGCCCCGGCUAACUACGUG
rnacentral:rRNA from 1 species